GACGAACGCUGGCGGCGUGCUUAACACAUGCAAGUCGAACGAAGUGGCGAACGGGUGAGUAACGCGUAAUCAACCUGCCCUUCAGAGGGGGACAACAGUUGGAAACGACUGCGAAAACCGCAUCCUGAUUGAUGGGAUUGCGUCUGAUUGGCUAGUGGGAGGGGUACCGGCCCACCAAGGCGAGGAACAGUAGGCGGACUGAGAGGAUGGACGGCCACAUUGGGACUGAGACACGGCCCAGACUCCUACGGGAGGCAGCAGUGGGGAAUCUUCCGCAAUGGACGAAAGUCUGACGGAGCAACGCCGCGUGAGUGAUGACGGCCUUCGGGUUGUAAAGCUCUGUUAAUCGGGACGCGGUACCGGAAUAGAAAGCAACGGCUAACUACGUGCCAGCAGCCGCGGUAAUUC
rnacentral:rRNA from 1 species